rnacentral:tRNA from 1 species
GCCUCAGCUCAGCCCGUAGAUCCCCCAGCCUCUCUCCUAAAGCGGGUGUCGCAGGUUCGAAUCCUGCCGGGGGCACCA